rnacentral:rRNA from 1 species
UCGGGAAUAUUGCGCAAUGGAGGGAACUCUGACGCAGUGACGCCGCGUAUAGGAAGAAGGUUUUCGGAUUGUAAACUAUUGUCAUCAGGGAAGAGAAAGGACAGUACCUGAGGAGGAAGCUCCGGCUAACUACGUGCCAGCAGCCGCGGUAAUACGUAGGGAGCAAGCGUUAUCCGGAAUUAUUGGGUGUAAAGGGUGCGUAGACGGGAAAUUAAGUUAGUUGUGAAAUCCCUCGGCUCAACUGAGGAACUGCAACUAAAACUGAUAUUCUUGAGUGCGGAGAGGAAAGUGGAAUUCCUAGUGUAGCGGUGAAAUAGCGUAGAUAUUAGGAGGA